rnacentral:rRNA from 1 species
GGUUAAGUUAGAAAGGGCGCACGGUGAAUGCCUUGGCACUAGGAGCCGAUGAAGGACGGGACUAACACCGAUAUGCUUCGGGGAGCUGUAAGUGAGCUUUGAUCCGGAGAUUUCCGAAUGGGAAACCCACUGUUCGUAAUGGAACAGUAUCUUUAUCUGAAUACAUAGGAUAUUGAAGGCAGACCCGGGGAACUGAAACAUCUAAGUACCCGGAGGAAGAGAAAGCAAAUGCGAUUUCCUGAGUAGCGGCGAGCGAAACGGAAUUAGCCCAAACCAAGAGGCUUGCCUCUUGGGGUUGUAGGACACUCUAUACGGAGUUACAAAGGAACGAAGUAAAUGAAGCGACCUGGAAAGGUCCGUCGAAGAAGGUAACAACCCUGUAGUUGAAACUUCGUUCCCUCUUGAGUGGAUCCUGAGUACGGCGGAACACGUGAAAUUCCGUCGGAAGCUGGGAGGACCAUCUCCCAAGGCUAAAUACUACCUAGUGACCGAUAGUGAACCAGUACCGUGAGGGAAAGGUGAAAAGCACCCCGGAAGGGGAGUGAAAGAGAUCCUGAAACCGUGUGCCUACAAGUAGUCAGAGCCCGUUAACGGGUGAUGGCGUGCCUUUUGUAGAAUGAACCGGCGAGUUACGAUCCCAUGCAAGGUUAAGCUGAUAAGGCGGAGCCGUAGCGAAAGCGAGUCUGAAUAGGGCGUUUAGUAUGUGGUUGUAGACCCGAAACCAGGUGAUCUACCCAUGUCCAGGGUGAAGUUCAGGUAACACUGAAUGGAGGCCCGAACCCACGCACGUUGAAAAGUGCGGGGAUGAGGUGUGGGUAGCGGAGAAAUUCCAAUCGAACCUGGAGAUAGCUGGUUCUCUCCGAAAUAGCUUUAGGGCUAGCCUCAUGUUGUGAGAGUCUUGGAGGUAGAGCACUGAUUGGACUAGGGGCCCCAACGGGUUACCGAAUUCAGUCAAACUCCGAAUGCCAAAGACUUAUCCAUGGGAGUCAGACUGCGAGUGAUAAGAUCCGUAGUCAAAAGGGAAACAGCCCAGACCACCAGCUAAGGUCCCCAAGUAUACGUUAAGUGGAAAAGGAUGUGGAGUUGCUUAGACAACCAGGAUGUUGGCUUAGAAGCAGCCACCAUUUAAAGAGUGCGUAAUAGCUCACUGGUCGAGUGACUCUGCGCCGAAAAUGUACCGGGGCUAAACGUAUCACCGAAGCUGUGGAUUGACAUCUUUGAUGUCAGUGGUAGGAGAGCGUUCUAAGUGCUGUGAAGUCAGACCGUAAGGACUGGUGGAGCGCUUAGAAGUGAGAAUGCCGGUAUGAGUAGCGAAAGACAAGUGAGAAUCUUGUCCACCGAAUGCCUAAGGUUUCCUGAGGAAGGCUCGUCCGCUCAGGGUUAGUCGGGACCUAAGCCGAGGCUGAAAAGCGUAGGCGAUGGCCAACAGGUUGAUAUUCCUGUACCACCUCCCCGCCGUUUGAGUAAUGGGGGGACGCAGUAGGAUAGGGUAAGCGCGCUGCUGGAUAUGCGCGUUCAAGCAGUUAGGCUGAUGAGUAGGCAAAUCCGCUCAUCAUAAAGGCUGAGCUGUGAUGACGAGGGAAUUAUAGUACCGAAGUUCCUGAUUCCACACUGCCAAGAAAAGCCUCUAGCGAGGCGGGAGGUGCCCGUACCGCAAACCGACACAGGUAGGCGAGGAGAGAAUCCUAAGGUGAUCGAGAGAACUCUCGUUAAGGAACUCGGCAAAAUGACCCCGUAACUUCGGGAGAAGGGGUGCUCUGGUAGGGUGUAUAGCCCGAGAGAGCCGCAGUGAAUAGGCCCAGGCGACUGUUUAGCAAAAACACAGGUCUCUGCGAAGCCGCAAGGCGAAGUAUAGGGGCUGACGCCUGCCCGGUGCUGGAAGGUUAAGAGGAGGGGUUAUCCUUUGGGAGAAGCUCUGAAUCGAAGCCCCAGUAAACGGCGGCCGUAACUAUAACGGUCCUAAGGUAGCGAAAUUCCUUGUCGGGUAAGUUCCGACCCGCACGAAAGGCGUAACGAUCUGGGCACUGUCUCAACGAGAGACUCGGUGAAAUUAUAGUACCUGUGAAGAUGCAGGUUACCCGCGACAGGACGGAAAGACCCCGUGGAGCUUUACUGUAGCCUGAUAUUGAAUUUUGGUACAGCUUGUACAGGAUAGGUAGGAGCCUGAGAAGCCGGAGCGCUAGCUUCGGUGGAGGCGUCGGUGGGAUACUACCCUGGCUGUAUUGAAAUUCUAACCCGCGGCCCUGAUCGGGCCGGGAGACAGUGUCAGGUGGGCAGUUUGACUGGGGCGGUCGCCUCCUAAAAUGUAACGGAGGCGCCCAAAGGUUCCCUCAGAAUGGUUGGAAAUCAUUCGUAGAGUGUAAAGGCACAAGGGAGCUUGACUGCGAGACCUACAAGUCGAGCAGGGACGAAAGUCGGGCUUAGUGAUCCGGUGGUUCCGCAUGGAAGGGCCAUCGCUCAACGGAUAAAAGCUACCCGGGGAUAACAGGCUUAUCUCCCCCAAGAGUCCACAUCGACGGGGAGGUUUGGCACCUCGAUGUCGGCUCAUCGCAUCCUGGGGCUGUAGUCGGUCCCAAGGGUUGGGCUGUUCGCCCAUUAAAGCGGUACGCGAGCUGGGUUCAGAACGUCGUGAGACAGUUCGGUCCCUAUCCGUCGUGGGCGUAGGAAAUUUGAGAGGAGCUGUCCUUAGUACGAGAGGACCGGGAUGGACACACCGCUGGUGUACCAGUUGUCUUGCCAAAGGCAUCGCUGGGUAGCUAUGUGUGGACGGGAUAAGUGCUGAAAGCAUCUAAGCAUGAAGCCCCCCUCAAGAUGAGAUUUCCCAUAGCGCAAGCUAGUAAGAUCCCUGAAAGAUGAUCAGGUUGAUAGGUCAGAGGUGGAAGCGUGGCGACAUGUGUAGCUGACUGAUACUAAUCGAUCGAGGACUUAACCAA